rnacentral:rRNA from 1 species
UACGAAGGGUGCUAGCGUUGUUCGGAAUUACUGGGCGUAAAGCGCGCGUAGGCGGCGGCACAAGUCAGGGGGUGAAAAUCCCCACAGCUCAACUGUGGAAUUGCCUUUGAAACUAGGCUGCUAGAGUGUCGGAGGGGGAUAGCGGAAUUGCUAAUGUAGAGGUGAAAUUCGUAGAUAUUAGCAGGAACACCGGUGGCGAAAGGCGGCUAUCUGGACGACAACUGACGCUGAGGCGCGAAAGCGUGGGGAUCAAACAGGG